GUGCUUGCUUUGGUAGCACAUGUACUACAAUUAGAACCAUACAGAAAAGAUGAGUAUGGCCCCUGAGCAAGGAUAUUUCAGAAGGCAGCAGAAUUUUC
ensembl:snRNA U6 U6 spliceosomal RNA